UACGUAGGGUGCAAGCGUUGUCCGGAAUUAUUGGGCGUAAAGAGCUCGUAGGCGGUUUGUCGCGUCUGCUGUGAAAACGCGAGGCUCAACCUCGCGCCUGCAGUGGGUACGGGCAGACUGGAGUGCGGUAGGGGAGAUUGGAAUUCCUGGUGUAGCGGUGAAAUGCGCAGAUAUCAGGAGGAACACCGGUGGCGAAGGCGGGUCUCUGGGCCGGUACCGACGCUGAGGAGCGAAAGCGUGGGGAGCGAACAGG
rnacentral:rRNA from 1 species